rnacentral:tRNA from 1 species
GGCUCUGUGGCUUGGUUGGCUAAAGCGCCUGUCUCAUAAACAGGAAAUCCUGGGUUCGAAUCCUGCUGGGUUU